rnacentral:tRNA from 1 species
AAAACUAUAGGUUAUAUUAGACCAUUGGCCUUCAAAGCCGAAAGAAGAAAGAUUCUUAGUUUUG